rnacentral:rRNA from 1 species
CUGGCUCAGGAUGAACGCUGGCGGCGUGCCUAACACAUGCAAGUCGAACGAAGCACCUUGACUUCUUCGGAAUGAUCGGUGACUGAGUGGCGGACGGGUGAGUAACGCGUGGGUAACCUGCCUCACACAGGGGGAUAACAGCUGGAAACGGCUGCUAAUACCGCAUAAGCGCACAGUACCGCAUGGUACAGUGUGAAAAGUUUUUCGGUGUGAGAUGGACCCGCGUCUGAUUAGCUUGUUGGCGGGGUAACGGCCCACCAAGGCGACGAUCAGUAGCCGGCCUGAGAGGGUGGACGGCCACAUUGGGACUGAGACACGGCCCAAACUCCUACGGGAGGCAGCAGUGGGGAAUAUUGGUCAAUGGUCGAGAGACUGAACCAGCCAAGUAGCGUGAAGGAUGAAGGUUCUAUGGAUUGUAAACUUCUUUUAUAAGGGAAUAAAACCACCUACGUGUAGGUGCUUGUAUGUACCUUAUGAAUAAGCAUCGGCUAACUCCGUGCCAGCAGCCGCGGUAAUACGGAGGAUGCGAGCGUUAUCCGGAUUUAUUGGGUUUAAAGGGAGCGUAGACGGGAGAUUAAGUCAGUUGUGAAAGUUUGAGGCCCAACCUUAAAAUUGCAGUUGAUACUGGUUUCCUUGAGUGCGGUUGAGGUGUGUGGAAUUCGUGGUGUAGCGGUGAAAUGCUUAGAUAUCACGAAGAACUCCUAUUGCGAAGGCAGCACACUAAGCCGCUACUGACGUUGAGGCUCGAAAGUGUGGGUAUCAAACAGGAUUAGAUACCCUGGUAGUCCACACGGUAAACGAUGAAUACUCGCUGUUGGCGAUAUACGGUCAGCGGCCAAGCGAAAGCAUUAAGUAUUCCACCUGGGGAGUACGCCGGCAACGGUGAAACUCAAAGGAAUUGACGGGGGCCCGCACAAGCGGAGGAACAUGUGGUUUAAUUCGAUGAUACGCGAGGAACCUUACCCGGGCUCGAACGGCAGAUGAAUUGAGUAGAGAUAUUCAAGUCUUCGGACAUCUGUCGAGGUGCUGCAUGGUUGUCGUCAGCUCGUGCUGUGAAGUGUCGGCUUAAGUGCCAUAACGAGCGCAACCCUUGCCUUUAGUUACUAACAGGUGAUGCUGAGGACUCUAAAGGGACUGCCAUCGUAAGAUGUGAGGAAGGUGGGGAUGACGUCAAAUCAGCACGGCCCUUACGUCCGGGGCUACACACGUGUUACAAUGGGAGGUACAGAAGGCCGCUACCCGGCGACGGGAUGCCAAUCCCCAAAACCUCUCUCAGUUCGGAUUGGAGUCUGCAACCCGACUCCAUGAAGCUGGAUUCGCUAGUAAUCGCGCAUCAGCCACGGCGCGGUGAAUACGUUCCCGGGCCUUGUACACACCGCCCGUA